rnacentral:rRNA from 1 species
GUCGAGCGAGAACCAGACCUUCGGGUCUGGGGACAGCGGCGAACGGGUGAGUAACACGUGGGUGAUCAACCCUCGGUACUGGGAUAGCCCGGGGAAACCCGGAUUAAUACCGGAUGGCCCUUCGGAUCUUCGGUUCUGAAGGAAAAGGUAGCUUCGGCCUCCGACCGAGGACGAGCCCGCGGCGGAUUAGCUUGUUGGUGGGGUAACGGCCUACCAAGGCGGCGAUCCGUAGCUGGUCUGAGAGGACGAUCAGCCACACUGGGACUGAGACACGGCCCAGACUUCUACGGAAGGCAGCAGUGGGGAAUCUUGCGCUAAUGCGGGAAACCGUGACGCAGCGACGCCGCGUGAGGGAAGAAGGCCUUCGGGUUGUAAACCUCUUUCAGGAGGGACGAAGCUACUCGGGUUAAUAGCCCAGAGGGUGACGGUACCUCCAGAAGAAGCCCCGGCUAACUACGUGCCAGCAGCCGCGGUAAUACGUAGGGGGCAAGCGUUGUCCGGAUUUAUUGGGCGUAAAGAGCGUGUAGGCGGCUUUACAGGUCCGUUGUGAAAACUCGAGGCUCAACCUCGAGACGCCGGUGGAAACCGUAAGGCUAGAGUCCGGAAGAGGAGAGUGGAAUUCCUGGUGUAGCGGUGAAAUGCGCAGAUAUCAGGAGGAACACCCGUGGCGAAAGCGGCUCUCUGGGACGGUACUGACGCUGAGACGCGAAAGCGUGGGGAGCAAACAGGAUUAGAUACCCUGGUAGUCCACGCCGUAAACGAUGGGUGCUAGGUGUGGGCGGUGUCGACUCCGUCCGUGCCGUAGCUAACGCAUUAAGCACCCCGCCUGGGGAGUACGGCCGCAAGGCUAAAACUCAAAGGAAUUGACGGGGACCCGCACAAGCAGCGGAGCAUGUUGU